rnacentral:rRNA from 1 species
AUUGAACGCUGGCGGCAGGCCUAACACAUGCAAGUCGAACGAGUGGCGGACGGGUGAGUAAUGUCUGGGAAACUGCCCGAUGGAGGGGGAUAACUACUGGAAACGGUAGCUAAUACCGCCUACCAUCGGAUGUGCCCAGUUGGGGUUAGUUAGUGGGUGGGGUAACGGCUCACCUAGGCGACGAUCCCUAGCUGGGCUGAGUGGAUGACCAGCCACACUGGAACGGAGACACGUUCCAAAAUCCUACGGGAGGCAGCAGUGGGGAAUAUUGCACAAUGGGCGCAAGCCUGAUGCAGCCAUGCCGCGUGUAUGAAGAAGGCCUUCGGGUUGUAAAGUACUUUCAGCGAGGAGGCGUUACUCGCAGAAGAAGCACCGGCUAACUCCGUGCCAGCAGCCGCGGUAAUAC